GGUGGUGUAGCUCAGAGGCCUAGAGCACCGGCUUGUCACGCCGGGGGUCGGGGGUUCAAAUCCCCUCACCAUCG
rnacentral:tRNA from 1 species